CAGUCAUGACAGCCAUGUUGAGAUGAAACUCUAUUUGGGUAGAACACUGAGUUCCUACGUUCUUGGCCAGUGACCAACAGCCUCUCCAUUUUUGAAGAAGAUGCAGGAGAGAGGCUCUGGGGAAAAUGCAUGCCCCAUAUCCUUACAGAAAAAGUCUGACUCUGGAGUGUGAGGUUGAGUGACAAUGACUCUUUUGGUUACACUGGCUAAGGUCCUUCCUUAAAAACAAGUUGAGCAGACAUUUUUGCUCUUUUCUCUAGGCUAAGCCUAUAACCUAAUCAAGGCGGUCAAUCGUUUCCAGCGUGGCUAUUCAGAGCCUCCACAGUUCUAUGGACCUCUGAACUGCCCAUCACCAAAGAGCUACUGCAAAAUGGAAACCAAACAAGCCGGUUGGGAUCUUGGUUCUCUACCCUCUGUCAGUCAGAGUAGAUCUGUCUUUAUCCGGUGUAUUUAUUUAAACUCAGGAUUCCAUUCUGUUCAAUUACAGAGUUCAGAGGCUUUUAGUUUUCAUUUCUCUUGAUAAUAUGUUCUAGGUCUUGCUACUUUGAAGAUGGAGGCAGGAAAAGAUGAAGCAAACGGAGCGGGUAACGGGGCUGUUAGCUCAGGGCUGUCCAACUCCACUUGAAAGCAAUACUUCCUGAUCACAUGACCUCUUUUGCUAGGGAACCAGGCUGGAUUGCUGGCGGAAAACCCAAGCGGCACUUGGAGAUCUUGGUGGAUCGCAGAUUUAUUUAACACCGUUGAAAACAUAAGCUACAGAGGUCGGGCCAUUGUCUUCCUUCAGUACUUUGGUCCCUGUUCCCAGAAGUGCAUCCUGAUUUUUGGAGCUAUGAUGUGCAGCGUCUUUUGCUAUAAACAAGACAGAAGGAUACAGAAUAUUUAAAGCUUAUGACUGAAAGACGGGGCAACGGUUGUAGGGUAAUAAAGAACCUAGUGAGGAUCCUGUUUCUGGAACACAGGUGCAGCUUGUGUUUUCAAGCCUCGUCUUGAAUUUAUUCAGCACCUGCACUUAAAGCAAUCAACGUUUCUCUCAAGUCUGAGCUUGAUGUAUUAGGAGAUGUGCUGUUAUGCUUCUCUGCGAAAUGAAGACAUUGGACUUCACCCUCUGGAGGUCUCUGGCUCUGACACCUGUGAGAUCCACAAUCAUGGCAAAUCCCUCCAACUUUCUCCCCUCUGUGUUUGGGAAAGACGUGUCACCUCUGGUGAUCUGGAUAAAAGGCUCUGGACAGCA